GACGGAGGAUGCAAGCGUUAUCCGGAAUGAUUGGGCGUAAAGCGUCCGCAGGUGGCAGUUCAAGUCUGCUGUCAAAGACUGGGGCUUAACUUCGGAAAGGCAGUGGAAACUGAACAGCUAGAGUAUGGUAGGGGCAGAGGGAAUUCCUGGUGUAGCGGUGAAAUGCGUAGAGAUCAGGAAGAACAUCGGUGGCGAAGGCGCUCUGCUGGACCAUAACUGACACUCAGGGACGAAAGCUAGGGGAGCGAAUGGG
rnacentral:rRNA from 1 species